rnacentral:rRNA from 1 species
UGGCGGUGCGCCUAAUGCAUGCAAGUCGAACGGGCGAAGGGACUUCGGUCCCCUAGCUAGUGGCAGACGGCUGAGUAACACGUAAAUGAUCUGCCCCGAAGUGAGGGACAACCCCGAGAAAUCGGGCCUAAUACCUCGUAAGUUCAUUGGAUCACGGUCCAGUGAAGAAAGGUUUCGGCCACUUUGGGAGGAGUUUGCGGCCUAUCAGGUAGUUGGUGGGGUAAUAGCCUACCAAGCCGAAGACGGGUAACCGGUGUGAGAGCACGAUCGGUCAGAGGGGGACUGAGACACGGCCCCCACUCCUACGGGAGGCAGCAGCAGGGAAUCUUGCACAAUGGACGAAAGUCUGAUGCAGCGACACCGCGUGAGGGAAGAAGGCCUUCGGGUUGUAAACCUCUUUUAUCAGGGAAGAGUAAGGACUGUACCUGACGAAUAAGGACCGGCUAACUACGUGCCAGCAGCCGCGGUAAUACGUAGGGUUCAAACGUUGUCCGGAAUUACUGGGCGUAAAGAGCGCGUAGGCGGUCUGUUAAGUCUCAUGUGAAAUCUCCCGGCUCAACUGGGAGGGGUCAUGGGAAACUGGCAGGCUUGAGGGUAGCAGAGGAAAGCGGAAUUCCCGGAGUAGUGGUGAAAUGCGUAGAUACCGGGAGGAACACCAGAGGCGAAGGCGGCUUUCUGGGCUAUUCCUGACGCUGAGGCGCGAAAGCGUGGGGAGCAAACCGGAUUAGAUACCCGGGUAGUCCACGCCCUAAACGAUGGAUACUAGAUAUGGGGGGUAUCGACCCCUCCCGUGUCGCAGCUAACGCAUUAAGUAUCCCGCCUGANGAGUACGG